ensembl:misc_RNA Y_RNA Y RNA
GCCUAGUCCGAAGAUAGUGAGUUAUCUCAGUUGAUUGUUCACAGUCAGUUACAGAUUGAACUGUAACUGUUGUUCCACUCUUUUCCCCAUUCUCACUACUGCACUUGACUAUUCUUUA